CACGUCUGCAGGAGUUUUCUGUUUGUUGGUUCCUCCUCCGACCACCAGGUGGCGCCUCCUGCUGUGGAUUGAGGCUGUUGGUGAGAAAGUGGAGGUGGAUCAGCUGCAGCUGACGCUGGUUUGUUGUUGUUUCUGUUGUGGCUGUACAGUGGCUCCAGAUCCAGGAUGCAGGACACUGAAUCCAGUGUCUCAUGUGGCCCUGCAGCUUCUCCUCAGAAUCCUCAGAGGCCGACUUAGAAUCACUCCCACUGGGAAGACGUGUGAAGGAAGGUCCACCCGGCCGGUCCAGGAGCUCCGGUCCAGCAGAGCAGCGUCAGGAUGGAGACGCAAGCAGGCGAGUUAACCAGAGAGCCGACACGUUCACACCGACAGCUUCCCUCCAGAUCACACUUUAUGUCUUCAACUAGGACUGGAGGUCAUUUGUUUGGAGCUAAACUCUGCUGGGUUCUUCUGUAGUCCAUCCUUUUAAUGAAGUGACAAAGUUCUUCACAAAAUGAAAUGGAACAAUCACAAAAUGAUUGGAAUGAGAAAACCAGAUUAAAACGAUUUGAUUCAA